AUGAAUUGUGUGCAAGAAGCAGUGCAAAGAAAAGGAAAUGGAGCCGAAGGAUCAUCGAUCAUGGAAGGAUUAUGGAAUCUCAGCCCUAGAAAGGACCUUAGAGAUCAGAAGGAUGAGGCGAAGCAUGUGCAGUGGUCCAUCCUGUGGCUACUUUGGGGAACAUCUCUGCCUCUAUUACCAUCUCUAGGCAUAAUCUGCAGAUCAAUUGUCCUCUUUGUACAAAUAUUAAAUUAACCCAGGAAUCAAAUGUGAGUGACAGUAAGGCCUUGAUUAACCAGAAUGCUUUGGGAAUGGAGCAUUCUAGUUAAUUGAAUUUUCUGGUUGACCUGUAACAGAUCUUUUAAAAAUGUGCAUGCCUUUGGAAGUACAGUAUGGUGAGCCUUAUUCUAAAGCUUGAGAUAUCUAUAAGCCAUAAGGGUCAACAUUCUGCAAAGUCAUGUCCAGCCUUCAGUAUUGCAGCUAAAGGAGGCUAAAGAGAACAGAUUGACUCUAUCCAGAAUCCAUGAUAUACCCUGAUCAAAUUCUUUUUUAAACAAAUGUUUAUUUAAAAAUAAAAUCUGUGCUCUGAAUGCUUUUGUUUUUCUC
rnacentral:lncRNA from 1 species